rnacentral:tRNA from 1 species
CAAAACAAUAUGGCGGUGUAGCUCAGCUGGCUAGAGCGUACGGUUCAUACCCGUGAGGUCGGGGGUUCGAUCCCCUCCGCCGCUACCA